CUUCUGGAUAGUACAGUUCACUUAAUUCUAACAACAGGAACGAGGGUACUGUGGGCUUCAUUUCAGAGAAGAGGAAACUGGGAUUUGGAGCUGAAGUAACUUGACCAAGAGCAGAUGGCAGGCACCCCUGAGCAUGAAAUAUAAAUUUCCCCCUGAGGAUUUAUGCCUUAUGUUUCUAGAGGGACAUAGAGAAGACAGAUAACUUAAAUACUUGGGUUCUGGAUUGGGGUUAUGUCAAACAUGCCACCGAAGAUUCUUGCACACGUUAUGCUGGUGUACAUAUAUGGAAGUGUCUGUGAGUACACACGUCACGGAGGAACUGCUGUGCCAUAGGGGAUACACACCCUCAACCUUGGCAGAUGAUGCUGAGCUGCCUUCCAGAGCAGCAGUGCUGGUUUGCACUCUCAGAAGCUUUGUAGAGAGUUCCAACUGCUCCACUUUCUCACCCACGCUUGUAAAUUUUGCUGCUGCUGUCUCUUUGGAUUUGGGCCAUUUUUAAGAGGUGUAACACUCACUGUGAAGUUCUGUAGCUCCAUUCUUCAAGUUAGCGAGACCACGAACCUGCCGGAAGGAACCAACUCCGGACAUAGCAGAUCAAGAAGGCAGUCAGAAGUGGGAAAUGACCCAGCACAAGAAGACAGCUUCAACUCCCUAUGAUUUCACCUCGGACCUGACCAAUCAGCAUUUGCAGUUCACUGGCUUCCCCCGACUCACCAAGCUGGUCUUAAAAAUUCUGAUCCCCGAAUGCUCAGGAAGACUGACUUGAGUAAUAAUAAAACUCUGGUCUCCC
rnacentral:lncRNA from 1 species